CCCCUGGUGGUCUAGUGGUUAGGAUGUGGCGCUCUCACCGCCGCAGCCCAGGUUCGUUUCCCAGUCAGGGAA
rfam:Manacus vitellinus contig10189, whole genome shotgun sequence.